AAAAAAAAAAACGUUUGUCAAAAAACAAAUACAAAAAGACAGCAGAAAGAACAUAGUCACCAAAUCACACGAUUUAACGUAGAUUCAUGCCAUGUUUUUUUUUUUUUUUUUUUUUCCUUUU
rnacentral:ribozyme from 12 species